UACGAAGGGGGCUAGCGUUGUUCGGAAUCACUGGGCGUAAAGCGCACGUAGGCGGAUUGUUAAGUCGGGGGUGAAAUCCUGAGGCUCAACCUCAGAACUGCCUUCGAUACUGGCAAUCUCGAGUCCGGAAGAGGUUGGUGGAACAGCUAGUGUAGAGGCGAAAUUCGUAGAUAUUAGCUAGAACACCAAUGGCGAAGGCAGCUCACUGGGACGGUAUUGACGCUGAGACGCGAAAGCGUGGGGAGCAAACAGG
rnacentral:rRNA from 1 species